GGGGAAUUUUGCACAAUGGGCCAAAAGCCUGAUGCAGCGAUGCCGCGUGGAUGAAGAAGGCCUUCGGGUUGUAAAGUCCUUUCGACAGGAAAGAAGCAAAUGACGGUACCUGGAGAAGAAGCCACGGCUAAUCACGUGCCAGCAGCCGCGGUAAGACGUGAGUGGCAAGCGUUAUCCGGAAUUACUGGGCGUAAAGAGCGCGUAGGCGACUUUGCAAGUCAGGGGUGAAAAGUCAGGGCUUAACCUUGGCCUUGCCUUUGAAACUGCAGAGAUAGAGUACAGGAUAGGAGGGUGGAACUACAAGUGUAGCGGUGGAAUGCGUAGAUAUUUGUAGGAAUGCCGAUGACGAAGGUAACUCUCUGGACUGAUACUGACGCUGAGGUGCGAGAGCUAGGGGAGCAAAC
rnacentral:rRNA from 1 species